rnacentral:lncRNA from 1 species
GUUCCUGUUGCUCCAUGAUUUCAGCAGAAUUUAGUGUCAGCAUACUAAAUUUUGGGCAUCCUAACAGAAAGAAGGAACGGACGCACACCUCCCCAAGGAGCCCUGGCACUAACUACAACACACACAGGGUUUGGCCAGACCUGGACCAGCUUUUGGAAAACACUAACUCAACUGUCAUCCAACUUGCUGCAGUUAACCACCCGUCAGUCACCCAUCAGGGGGCAUGAAGCUCUGGUUUGAUCACUUUGCUAAGGGCUGCACAAGGAAGAAAAAAAGUCAUAAAACACUAUAUUGUCAAGCAGUACUCACUGCUUCUCCUCUUCACUGUCCUCUACCUUGAGUCCCUCAAAAUAUUUCACCUGCAUGACAUUUCUUCACUUGAGAUGCUGUUUGCCCUUUAAAUGGCAUCUUAGCAUUUGAGGUCCUCUAGCUGUCUUCUUUCUUUUCCUUAGGCUGACAAUUCUGCUGAAAGUUUGUGAAAAGACUUGACAUUCACAAAAUCUAAGGUCUUCUGGUGAUACCAAAUGUAACAGGAAUGGAAGCAUCAUCAGCACUGUGCAACAUUAUGUUUCUUUAGCAUGGUUUGGCUCAGGUUACAAAACCUGGGCAGCUGUACCACAGACAGAGGCUAUGGCCAUUUCCCCUCUAUUUUAUGAUCAUCCCUGUUUCAUUACUUUGUGCUUUCACUACAUCCUGGCCUAGCAGUCUGUAGCAGCAGGCUAGAGAGAUAAGGCCUUCUGGUAAUAAAUAAAGUAGAAGGUUAAAAC